UACGACUACAUAUCAGGCAUAUAAUAAGCGGAGGAAAAGAAACUAACAAGGAUUCCCCUAGUAACGGCGAGUGAAGCGGGAAGAGCUCAAAUUUGAAAUCUUAAAGGGUUUCCCUUGACGAAAUUGUAGUUUAAAGAAGUGUUUUCUGUUGGAGUUUUCGGUAAAAGUUCUUUGGAAUAGGACAUCAUAGAGGGGUGAGAAUCCCGUAUUUGACCGUUACUUUCCUAGCUGUGUGAUACACUUUCAAAGAGUCGGAUUGUUUGGGAAUGCAGUCCAAAGAUGGGUGGUAAAUUUCAUCUAAAGCUAAAUAUUGGCGAGAGACCGAUAGCGAACAAGUACCGUGAGGGAAAGAUGAAAAGAACUUUGAAAAGAGAGUAAAACAGUACGUGAAAUUGUCAAAAGGGAAGCGUUUGACACCAGUGUUGUUUCUACGAAAAUCAAUUUAAAUGAUGCUUGAUGCUAAGCUAGUAUGACCUUAUCCUGCUUGUUGCUUUAGUUUUCUUGUCUUUGUGAAUGCACUUUUCGUGGAACAAGUCAACAUCAAUUUCUUUUGCUGUAAAAGGGUAAGAGGAAGGUGGCUUCGGCUUCGGUUGAAGUGUUUAUAGCCUUUUAUCUCUGCAGUCGGAGAGAUUGAGGUCUGCAGCGUAGACUCUUCGGGGUUAGAUACGUCGGUGCUAAGCUAUAGCUUUUCAUAGACAACUUGUUGACUAUGUUUAGUCAUGUGGCUUACCCGCUGGCGCUAUUUUACCUACGCUUAGGAUGUUGACUGAUAUGUAGUCGUA
rnacentral:rRNA from 1 species